rnacentral:misc_RNA from 1 species
GCCCUCAAGCACGGCUUGUGUGUUAGGCCCCGUCCUCCGCUCGCGGGGGACGGGCCUGAAAGGCAGCGGCGGCACCGCGUCCGGUCCUCGAGCGUAUGGGGCUUUGUCACCCGCUCUGUAGGCCCGGCCGGCGCCUGCCGAUCAACCACACUUUUAUUCAGGUUGACCUCGGAUCAGGUAGGGAUACCCGCUGAACUUAA